rnacentral:tRNA from 1 species
GGGCGUUUAGCUCAGCGGGAGAGCACUGCCUUCACACGGCAGGGGUCACUGGUUCAAUCCCAGUAACGCCCACCA